rnacentral:rRNA from 1 species
UUCAAGAUAUGAAGGGCGUACGAUGGAUGCCUUGGCAACAGGAGCCGAAGAAGGACGUGGGCGGCUGCGAUAAGCCGCGGGGAGGCGCUGACCAGCCUAUGAUCCGCGGAUUUCCGAAUGGGGGAACCCACGCGUCGUAAUGGGCGCGUAUCCCUGCCUGAACACAUAGGGCAGGAGAAGGCAAGCCGGUGAAGUGAAACAUCUCAGUAACCGGAGGAAAGGAAAGAAACCUCGACUCCCUGAGUAGUGGCGAGCGAAAAGGGAUCAGCCCAAACCGAGUUGAGUGUGAUUGCCUGCGGGCUUAGCUCAUCCGGGGUUGUAGGACCAGCAUGAUCGUGCCGCAGCGCGAUCGGGCAGUGAGAAAUCCUCUCGAUAGUCGAACGGCCUGGAAAGGCCGGCCACAGUGGGUAACAGCCCCGUAGGCGAAAUCCAGAGGACUGCCUCGUUGGCACCUGAGUACGGCCGG